UUCCAUGCCAGUAGAUCUUGCCUGGCUCUUGACCAUAGCAUGGCAGGAGGGACAGAGCAUGUGAAAUCAACCUGGAGUCGGUACCAGAUGCAGUCAAAGCAGCCUCCAGCCUGC